UACGAAGGGGGCUAGCGUUGUUCGGAAUCACUGGGCGUAAAGCGCACGUAGGCGGAUUUUUAAGUCAGGGGUGAAAUCCCGAGGCUCAACCUCGGAACUGCCUUUGAUACUGGGGAUCUGGAGUCCGGGAGAGGUGAGCGGAACUGCGAGUGUAGAGGUGAAAUUCGUAGAUAUUCGCAAGAACACCAGUGGCGAAGGCGGCUCACUGGCCCGGAACUGACGCUGAGGUGCGAAAGCGUGGGGAGCAGACAGG
rnacentral:rRNA from 1 species